CCUACGGGUGGCAGCAGUGAGGAAUAUUGGUCAAUGGGCGCGAGCCUGAACCAGCCAAGUAGCGUGAAGGAUGACUGCCCUAUGGGUUGUAAACUUCUUUUAUAAAGGAAUAAAGUGAGGCACGUGAGCCUUUUUGUAGGUACUUUAUGAAUAAGGAUAGGCUAACUCCGUGCCAGCAGCCGCGGUAAUACGGAGGAUCCGAGCGUUAGCCGGAUUUAGUGGGGUUAAAGGGAGCGAAGAUGGGUUGUUAAGUCAGUUGUGAAAGUUUGCGGCUCAACCGUAAAAUUGCAAUUGAUACUGGCAGUCUUGAGUACAGUUGAGGUAGGCGGAAUUCGUGGUGUAGCGGUGAAAUGCUUAGAUAUCACGAAGAACUCCGAUUGCGAAGGCAGCUUACUAAACUGCCACUGACAUUGAUGCUCGAAAGUGUGGGUAUCAAACAGGAUUAGAUACCCCAGUAGUC
rnacentral:rRNA from 1 species